GACGAACACUGGCGGCGUGCUUAACACAUGCAAGUCGAACGGAGUGGCCAACGGGUGAGUAACACGUGGGUGACCUGCCCUGCACUUCGGGAUAAGCAUGGGAAACUGGGUCUAAUACCGGAUAGUGUGGGAUGGGACCGGGGCCUAUCAGCUUGUUGGUGGGGUAAUGGCCUACCAAGGCGGCGACGGGUAGCCGGCCUGGGAGGGUGGACGGCCUCAAUGGGACUACGACACGGCGCAGACGCCUACGGGAGGCAGCGGGUGGGAAUCUUGCACAGUGGGCGGAAGCCUGAUGAAGCGACGCCGGGUGUGUGAUGACGGCCUUCGGUUUGUAAACUCCUUUCACCAUCGACGCGGUAGAUGGAGAAGAAGCACCGGCUAACUACGUGCCAGCAGCCGCGGUAAUAC
rnacentral:rRNA from 1 species